rnacentral:rRNA from 1 species
GCAAGUCGAACGAGAUCUUCGGAUCUAGUGGCGCACGGGUGCGUAACGCGUGGGAAUCUGCCCUUGGGUUCGGAAUAACAGUUAGAAAUGACUGCUAAUACCGGAUGAUGACGUAAGUCCAAAGAUUUAUCGCCCAAGGAUGAGCCCGCGUAGGAUUAGCUAGUUGGUGAGGUAAAGGCCUACCAAGGCUACGAUCCGUAGCGGGUCUGAGAGGAUGAUC